rnacentral:lncRNA from 1 species
AUUUGACCCUAAUUGGGAUUAUUGAUGCUGAAGAAUUAUGUUGGAUAAAUUGUAUUUAGACUGUAAUUGAAUCUGUGUUUGGGUUAGUUGUGAAAUUCCGAACGUAUAGCUUUUUACGGAAUCGGAAUCGGAGGUCCGGAAGUCCUCCAACGGCGGAAAAUGCGGAGAAUUCUGCAUUCUGCCUUGUGUUAGCGCAGGAACUGCUGUUUUGUCUGCGUUAACCGGUUAAC